GUCGAACGCUGGCGGCGUGCUUAACACAUGCAAGUCGAGCGAGCAGAUUUCCUUCGGGGAUGAAGCUAGCGGCGGACGGGUGCGUAACACGUGGGCAACCUGCCUUAUAGAGGGGGAUAGCCUUCCGAAAGGAAGAUUAAUACCGCAUAACAUCAGAUUAUCGCAUGAGAGACUGAUCAAAGGAGCAAUCCGCUAUAAGAUGGGCCCGCGUCGCAUUAGCUAGUUGGUGAGGUAACGGCUCACCAAGGCGACGAUGCGUAGCCGACCUGAGAGGGUGAUCGGCCACAUUGGGACUGAGACACGGCCCAGACUCCUACGGGAGGCAGCAGUGGGGAAUAUUGCACAAUGGGGGAAACCCUGAUGCAGCAACGCCGCGUGAGUGAUGAAGGCCUUCGGGUUGUAAAGCUCUUUGAUCAGGGACGAUAAUGACGGUACCUGAAGAACAAGCCACGGCUAACUACGUGCCAGCCGCCGCCGUAAGAC
rnacentral:rRNA from 1 species